rnacentral:rRNA from 1 species
GAUAAACGCUGGCGGCGUGCUUAACACAUGCAAGUCGAACGAAGUUUUUCUUUCGGGAGGAACUUAGUGGCGGACGGGUGAGUAACGCGUGGGUAACCUGCCCUGUACAGGGGGACAACAGCUGGAAACGGCUGCUAAUACCGCAUAAGCCCUUAGCACUGCAUGGUGCAUAGGGAAAAGGAGCAAUCCGGUACAGGAUGGACCCGCGUCUGAUUAGCCAGUUGGCAGGGUAACGGCCUACCAAAGCGACGAUCAGUAGCCGAUCUGAGAGGAUGUACGGCCACAUUGGGACUGAGACACGGCCCAGACUCCUACGGGAGGCAGCAGUGGGGAAUAUUGCACAAUGGAGGAAACUCUGAUGCAGCGACGCCGCGUGAGUGAAGAAGUAUUUCGGUAUGUAAAGCCCUAUCAGCAGGAAAGAAAAUGACGGUACCUGACUAAGAAGCACCGGCUAAAUACGUG